AAUAGAUACCCAGGUAGUCCACGCCGUAAACGAUGAGUGCUAAGUGUUAGAGGGUUUCCGCCCUUUAGUGCUGAAGUUAACGCAUUAAGCACUCCGCCUGGGGAGUACGGUCGCAAGACUGAAACUCAAAGGAAUUGACGGGGGCCCGCACAAGCGGUGGAGCAUGUGGUUUAAUUCGAAGCAACGCGAAGAACCUUACCAGGUCUUGACAUCCUCUGACAACCCUAGAGAUAGGGCUUUCCCUUCGGGGACAGAGUGACAGGUGGUGCAUGGUUGUCGUCAGCUCGUGUCGUGAGAUGUUGGGUUAAGUCCCGCAACGAGCGCAACCCUUGAUCUUAGUUGCCAGCAUUCAGUUGGGCACUCUAAGGUGACUGCCGGUGACAAACCGGAGGAAGGUGGGGAUGACGUCAAAUCAUCAUGCCCCUUAUGACCUGGGCUACACACGUGCUACAAUGGACGGUACAAAGAGUCGCGAGACCGCGAGGUGGAGCUAAUCUCAUAAAACCGUUCUCAGUUCGGAUUGUAGG
rnacentral:rRNA from 1 species